rnacentral:misc_RNA from 1 species
UCUCCGUUGGUGAACCAGCGGAGGGAUCAUUACCGAGUUUACAACUCCCAAACCCCUGUGAACAUACCUAUCGUUGCCUCGGCGGUGCCUGCUCCGGCGGCCCGCCAGAGGACCCCCAAACUCUUGUUUUAUACAGUAUCUUCUGAGUAACACGAUUAAAUAAAUCAAAACUUUCAACAACGGAUCUCUUGGUUCUG